CGGUAACAGAGAGUAGCUUGCUACUCUGCUGACGAGCGGCGGACGGGUGAGUAAUGCUUGGGAAUAUGCCUUAUGGUGGGGGACAACAGUUGGAAACGACUGCUAAUACCGCAUGAUGUCUACGGACCAAAGUGGGGGACCUUCGGGCCUCACGCCAUAAGAUUAGCCCAAGUGGGAUUAGCUAGUUGGUGAGGUAAUGGCUCACCAAGGCGACGAUCCCUAGCUGGUUUGAGAGGAUGAUCAGCCACACUGGGACUGAGACACGGCCCAGACUCCUACGGGAGGCAGCAGUGGGGAAUAUUGCACAAUGGGCGCAAGCCUGAUGCAGCCAUGCCGCGUGUGUGAAGAAGGCCUUCGGGUUGUAAAGCACUUUCAGUAAGGAGGAAAGGUUAAGUGUUAAUAGCACUUAGCUGUGACGUUACUUACAGAAGAAGCACCGGCUAACUCCGUGCCAGCAGCCGCGGUAAUACGGAGGGUGCGAGCGUUAAUCGGAAUUACUGGGCGUAAAGCGUACGCAGGCGGUUUGUUAAGCGAGAUGUGAAAGCCCCGGGCUCAACCUGGGAACUGCAUUUCGAACUGGCAAACUAGAGUGUGAUAGAGGGUGGUAGAAUUUCAGGUGUAGCGGUGAAAUGCGUAGAGAUCUGAAGGAAUACCGAUGGCGAAGGCAGCCACCUGGGUCAACACUGACGCUCAUGUACGAAAGCGUGGGGAGCAAAC
rnacentral:rRNA from 1 species